UUCAAUGAGAAAAGAGGCAUGAUGGGAGGAAGGCUGUCCCUUGGUAGAAGAGACCAUAUUUCACAUGGAGGCUGCUAUUCCAUAUGGCAGCCAUCUAAAGGCACAGAGCAUUAUGGGAAGGAAGCUACUGUUUUUUGUAGCAGCCAUCUUGAGGGCUGAGGACCUAGGCCAGAAAUGCAGGAUGAACAGAAGAGAUGUACCAAGAAAUAGGACUGAAAGUUGGGGCAACUCCAUGGCCAGAAAAACAGGGACAGAUCACAACCAUUGUGUCAGGAUCUGUGCAGAUCUCUCUUAUACCAGACAUUUGGGCGUGGAGUGGCUCAGCGGGAUGAACAGCACUGAGGUAAGAAGAGUGCUCUACCUGUAAGCUCCCAUGUGUCCUCAUCACAGAAAGUGAUGUUGGAAGAACAGAAUGGACAGUUACCAGGUUGAUAGGAAAGUCAACAUGUGAGGCUUUGUACUGGCAGAAUGAGAAAUGUCGAAGAGAGGGAGGAGGAGAAGUGUGGGCCUAAAGCCAGAAGGCAGAGGGCUCUCUUGAACAUUGUUCCAAUAGCAG
rnacentral:lncRNA from 1 species